rnacentral:rRNA from 1 species
UACGUAGGGUGCAAGCGUUAAUCGGAAUUACUGGGCGUAAAGCGUGCGCAGGCGGUUUUGUAAGUCUGAUGUGAAAUCCCCGGGCUCAACCUGGGAAUUGCAUUGGAGACUGCAAGGCUAGAAUCUGGCAGAGGGGGGGUAGAAUUCCACGUGUAGCAGUGAAAUGCGUAGAGAUGUGGAGGAAUACCGAUGGCGAAGGCAGCCCCCCUGGGUCAAAAACUGACGCUCAUGCACGAAAAGCGUGGGGAGCAAACAGG